GCUCGAGGUUGGGCGAGCGCGGAAGUAGAGUUCGGGACGGCGGAUCGGAAUCCAUCGACCGAUUCUCUCUUUCUCUCCUCUCCCUUGGAUUCCUGUAGGCGGUGGAUCAAUCUUGCCUUCGUGGUGGCGGCAGAACGAGCGCCGUGAGAUCAGGUGGACCUGCUUCUGCAGAUUCCUCCUGGUGCUUGGGACGUUUUCGGCUAGAUUGAUUUACUAGCUACGUCCAAGCAGGCCACUGGAUUGAUUUCAUGAGGCUUACUAGCUACGUCCCAAUCAAGAUAGCUAGACUUACUAGCUACGUCCCAAGCAGGCCAAUCCAAUAUGUUGAUCAAUUUGAUUGUUCUGGCUGGAGGUCAGGAGGUCAGAAGGUGCGUCCUUCACACUAAAUCGUACCCGAAGUUCUACAAUUAGAAGCUCGCUUCGAGGUCUUGGUGUGGGGCUGCUGGGGAAGGGAAUGUCCUUCUACUUAGUGAAAGUCGUUGUUGCGCUAAAAUGUAGAUGUUAUGAUGACCAAUGACCAUAAACUUUUCUCAAGAAAUCUGGAAAGAAGCGAGGAUUCUCAAGUAAGAUAAGUCUGCUUACAAAAAUUUGCCUACUGGAAAGUAGAUAAGAGACUCAUGAAGUAAGAAUACAUGCCUACAUAUUAUACAUAGCAGGCUUCUGACUUCUCUGAUUCUGCAAGCCUUGAGGCUGUGAAACAUCUAUGCUAGGUCGCCACACUUCUGCCACCUUCAUUUGAUGAGGUUCAGCGUUCACUACUAUGAAAGAAGAAGGCAUAUAUUUUCCUUGUGGAAUUUCCAGUAGAAUGACAGUGAGAACGAGUAAAAAUCUACAACAGUAUGACUGUAUGGUUCUCACUCAAAGUAGAGGCCCAACAAACUUUUUUGAAGUAGGAGUCGAAAACUACAAAUCCAUCUAUUCCUAGAAUGGAGCUGGUUGGAGUUGAGCCUACAAUUGAGCGGGUAGUUCGGUGGCACCGACAUCCAGCUGAAAGUUUUAUAGGAGGGUUAGUAAAGCAAAUUUGUUCAUGAGGAAAUGUGCCAGCAAAACAUUGAGUCAGAGUGCAAGACAAAUGCUCUUAACAGUUUUUUUGGUCGCUUUUCUUUAAUUACAAUUCUUAUUAUUUUUAGUUGGCGUUGAUGUACAAAAGAAAAUCCUGUGCCUUUUUUGUCCUCUCAUUGACCAUUGUAUUUUUGAGUCAUAUCAGUCUAUGUAAAAGAAUUCAGUACCUUAUGUUUUGUAUAUUUGGAAAUGUCUAAAGGCGUGGUGUU